UUGCUCUUGUUAUUGAGGUCCCUAAUAAAAUCUAGUAUUACAUGAAGAUUUGAUUUUAAUAAGCUUAAAUAAUUAUUAUAGAAAGAUUUUUAUAGAUAUUAGAGAUCUCGAUGGAAGAAACUUUAGAAGAUAUAAUUGAGUCAGUUUUACUUAUAUAUUUUAAUUUUAGUUCUAACUUGGUGAAGUGUCAAAAAAUUUUUCUAAUUAAUUUUAC
rnacentral:lncRNA from 1 species